rnacentral:lncRNA from 1 species
UCAAACUAGCCCUUUAAGUUUUUGUGAUAUUUCAAAAUGAUCCUAUCAUUUACUUAUCAAUAAAUGAUAUUAAUUUAUCAUUUCAAUGGAUAAAAAUAUUUUUUACUCAUAUGGGAGACAUCGGUGAAAAGAGUGGAGGUGAAGGGAGCUACCAUGGAGAGAGAGAAUGAAAUUAUGGAGGUCAGCAUGGAGGUCAAGGAUAGCACCAAAGGCCUCAUGAUGGGAUUAAAGGAAAAGGAGGAGGAGAAGAGAGUGAGGAGGAAGGA